AGUUGCAUAAAUUAUCGGAUAGUUCUUGUGAUUCAGAAGACGAAUCACUAGAAUUUUCUAUUUCAUUAAUUAAGUAAUCGCUAUCGGUUUCUUCAGAUAUUUCUGAUUCCGAUAUUAAUAAUUUAGUUAAUUUUUCUUGAAUAUCAGGUUGAUCUUGAAAGAUUUCAUUUAUUUUCUUUUUCAUUUUACAUUCUGUAGACUUAUGUCCUGGUCUUUUACAAUUAUAGCACACUAUCUUUUGUUUAUCAUUUGAUUUAUAUUUUUUAUUUUUUGAAUAAUAUUUGUUAGUUGGUUUUUUAUCAAAAUAUUUUUGAUAAUGUUUUGAUUUACUAGCUUUUCUUUGACUAUAUUUUAUUCUUUUAAUUCUAGAGGGAGGAUCUAAUCUAUCAUAACCAUAUUGCUUACAAAAUGAACCCAUAGUUGUUUUAAACUUAAAUUUAUCAUUUCUUUUCUUAUCUUUAUGUUCUUGACAUAUUGCUAAACCUUGUUUUUUAACAAAAGCGAAUAACUGACCGUAUGUAAUUGUGUUCCACGGUAUAGGUUGACCGCCUGAAUAAUCUUUUAAUUUGUUGAUUACUCUUUCUGCGAAAAAAGAUGGUAAUCCUGAGAUAAAUCUUUCUUUCCAGAAAGGUUGAUUACAAUCAUUUCUUUGGAAUAUGUUGGUUACGAAUAUAUCUUUGUACCAUUUAAAAUCUCCUAAUGUUGGACAUCUUAAAUUGGUUAAUACUAUUUUUUUGCUUUCUAAUUCUUCAGUAGGAUUUCCUAUAAAAUGCAUAGUUAAAGUAUUGAUUAAUACUUCUACUGCAUUUUGAUGUUCUAUUUCUUCAUAUAAGCCAUCUUCAUAUUCUACUUUUCUAAUUUCUACGUGAUUAAUUAUUGAAUCUUUGAACAGUAACUUAGAACAACAGUAACCGUGAACAGUAACUUUGAACAGUAACUUUGAAUAGUAAACAAAAUUUCAUAUUUUUUUUGAAAUCGAAAUACAAGGAUUAGAAAUUUGAAUUACAAAGAUAAAUUUAAAACUUGAAACUAAAAAGCUUUUACAAUUUUUAGAGAGAAAGGAGAGCUUUUUAGAGAGAGAGAAUCUGAAUUUUGCUCGUGUCCUUCUCUUUUGUUUUGAGAGCAUAUUUAUAGGAGAAGGUUGUGUAUAGAGUCUUGAUACGUGGAGCUCAUCAGAUGGUGCCGACACUCUUGUGACACGUGUCAUUCAUCUAACGGUGCCGACAGUUUUGAUUACGACAUUGCUUACGUCCUUGCUUACGUCAUCACUAACGUCUUGAUUGCGUCAUAAUUCCUGUGUCUUGAUUUAUUCUUCGAUUUUACAGAGAUAUACUCUGUUUAUUAUUUUUAAACAAUAAAUUUAAAACGUUGAAUAAUCUACGUUAUUUUUAAAUAAUAUACAGAGUCUACUAGAAUAUACUUUGGAAAUCAUAAAUUUAUACAAUCCCACUAUUGGUUUUUUUUUUUUUUUUUUUACAUUUCUAACGGAUCCUGGCCUAAUGGUCCACCAAAUUGGUCAUCGGGAUGAGGAUCGUUUGAAUCUGAGUCAUUUGCUUGCAUAACCUCGUCAUCGUCAUCGUCCGAGGUUUCCAUGUGUUGGCUAAGAGCAGCGAGUAUUUGUUUAAGCUUGUUUUUCUUGGAGGACUUUUUGGAGUUGGAUGAGCCCGUUGAGUUUGUUGGGCUCUGUGGUCUUUUGGUAUUUGGUGAGGAUUUUGGGAUGGAUUGUUGAGUAAAUUGGUCUGGUGUUACGAGGGGUACGGAUUUGGAGACGGCACGGACAGUUGUCGCGACUUCUUUGGUAAUUUGGAAGAAUUUUUGGAUAUUGGCUAAAGAACAGCGGUCUAAAUUAUAUUUAUCCCACCAUUUGAUACAGAAUUCGCGGACAAGGGAAUAUGGCAUAUCUGGUAAAUGAGGUAUGAGGUUAUAGGGCCAUGAACAUAUCCAAGGUAUGCCCAUGUCUAUGUGGAAGUGUAUGUUAGUUAAUGGUAGUAUCGGUGUUUUGGGUGCAUAUUUGGUAUAAAAAGGUAAAGAGGUUUUGGUAAUUUCUGUUGGGUGAAUUUGGUCUGUUGGGCCAAACCAGUGCCACCAUUCAUAGAACAAUCCUGGUAUAGUUUUUGGACAUUUAUGGUCUAAGGAUAUAAACCAUGAAUGGUCAUAUGCUUUUAGGUAAAAAAGACGGAAGAAGGCAUUUUGAUAAUCGACUUAGGUGUAGCGUGGGAUAUGGUAACCUGAAGCUGAGAAGUGGUAGUAUGGUGGUGAAUGAAACCAAGGUCUUGAAUAGAACAAACCCGUAAUAUCUUACAGGUUGAGUAUUUAGGUUCGGAUGUAUGUGGGUAGUGAGUAAUUUCUACAGACUUAGAGUCUACUAGAAUAUACUCAUAAAAAGUACGGUUUUUGAUUAUAUUGUCAGUAGGAUACUGACAGUCUUCAUAAAGAUAUCGACUAACAAAGGUUUUGAGUUGUUGUAGGGUUGUUGGUUUGGUAAAGUUGGUGGUAAUAAGGUGUUCUUUUGGGUUUUAGUAAUGUAAGGGGUUUUUUGAGAAGGUUGAGAAGUUGUUGGAAUAGAUGGUUGACCUUUUUCUGUGGCAACUGCUUUUGAGUAGGAGAGUGGAGGAAAUUCAGCAAGAGCCGAAUAAGAGUUUUGAAUAGAUAGGGGCUUGCCCUGAAGACUUGGUUGACUUUUGAUAUAAUCCGAUGCAGUCAUCGGUCUUUUCUUAUUUGGGUCACUCAUCUUGAUUAUUUAAUUGGUUGCCAGUUUUUCCCUGUAAAUAUUCUCUCGCUAGAAAAUCACGUAAAGAAUUAUUCUCUCCUUUGAUAUAUUUGGAUAUCGAAAUCAAAUACUGAUAAAAUAGCUUGUCAUCUUGCAAAAAUUUGUUUUGAAACUAAAUUUUUUACAUCUUUUUGUAAAAUCUCUUUUGCUGACUUACAGUCAACACGAAGUAAAAAUUUUUUAUUUAUUAAAUCAUCUUGAAAUUUUGAAAUGCAGUUAACUAUAGAAAGGACUUCUUUUUUAACGGUAGAAUAGUUUCUUUGGGGUCCUAUCCAGACUCCUGAAUGGAACCUAACUAUAGACUCUUGGCUAGAUUCCAGAAGUUUUGGUUUAAGGAUUCCUCCAUAACCUAUUUCUGAAGCAUCGGUUUCGACAAUCAUAUCGGCUUCAGGGUUUGGUAUGGAUAGACAAGGGAGAGUUUUGACUUUCUGCUUAAUCUGUUGAACUAAUUGGGUAUGUUUAUGGGUCCAAGGUUAAGGGUUUUCUGUAAUCUUUGAAAUAAAGGUUGAAUGGUUUUCCUAAGGUUUGGUAGGAAAUCGGAAACAUAAUUUAGACAUCCUAAAAAUCUCUGUAAUUGAGUUUUUUCUCUUAAUUCAUUUGGAAAUUUAUCUGCAAAUUCUAUUGCUCUUGAUAUUGGUGUUAUGGUUCCUUGUUAAAUAUUGUGUCCUAAAAAUCUUAUUUUUGUUUGGAAUAAAGACAUUUUUUUGGCAGAUAAGACUAAACCAUGUUUUUUUUACUAUAUUUAAAAAUGUGUUUAAAUGGUUAAUAUGUUGAUCUAUUGAUGUUGAAUAUACUAGUACAUCAUCAAUAUAAACAAUGGUGAAAUUUGAAUAAUUAUUAAAUAUAUCAUUCAUUAUGUGUUGAAAUUCGGAUGGUGCAUUUUUUAAUCCAAAUGGCAUUACGUUCCAUUCAUAAUGACCGAAUGGUACGGUGAAUGCCGUUUUAUAUUUAUCGUGUUCGGCAAUUUGAAUUUGCCAGAAGCCGCUUUUCAUAUCAAAUUUUGAAUAAAUUUUUGCAUUAUAAAGUCGUUUUAAUAAAUGUCUUUUAUUGGAUAUUGGAUACCUAAUCCACUGUAAAACAUCAUUAAGUGGUUUAUAAUUGAUUACUAAUCUGGGUACACCACGUUUCUUUUCGGCUUGAUUAUUUACAUAGAAGGCCGAACAACUCCAUGGGGAUUUGGAUGGCCUUAUUAAUUUUUUAUUUAAUAAAUCUGUUAUUUUUUGUUUACAAUGUUCUAAUAAUUCUUUAUUCAUUUGAAUAGGUCGAGCUUUGGUUGGUAUAUUUUUUUCACUAAAUUCUUUGAUAUAAGGAAGUUCUACGGUAUGUUGUUUUCUUUUUUAAAAGGCGUUUGGUAAUUCUGAACAUACCUGUUUUAAAAGUUCAUUUUCUAUUGAUUUAAUUUUGCUUACUGUAUAAGGGGUUUUAAAUUGUUCUUCUAUUCUUUUGUAAGCUAUUUCAUCUUGUAAAUAUUGUAUAUGAUUUUGUUUUCUUUUAAUUAGAUUAAUAGUUUUUUGAAUAGUAUUUUGUUGUAAAUUUAAAACUUCUUUGGUUUUCAUGGGUGAUAAAAAUUUAAAUAAUAAUUUCGUGCCAACUACUUUCGUGGUUAUUCCUGUUCUGUUACUUUAAAUGGAUAUAUUUGCGUAAAGAAUGGAGUUCCUAAUAUUACUUCUUGUGAAAGAUUUUUGACUAAGAUAAAUUGAUUUUUAAAACAGUAUCCUUGAUUACAUAUUUUUCCACAAGGUAAUUUAUAUUGUACCUUUAAACUACUGCCAUUAGCACUACUUAGGCGUUCAUUAGUUUUCUCAUAAUAUUUUGUUGGUAUAAAUCCUUCACGGAUACAGUUAUAAUCUGCUCAUGUAUCCAUUAGGGCGAUUAUAUUAAUUUUAAAACCAUGUCCUACAUGUAGGGUAAUAUUUGUAUACCAUUUUUGAUAAUUUAUUUUAUUAAUUAUUUGAAUAUAAUCUUCAUUAUCUUCUGUUUUUCUUUGAUUAUUUGUUUCUGAAAUUUGGUUACUUGUAGAUACUUGAGAAUUAUUUCUAUUUUCUAUUAGAGAUAGUCUAGCAUCUACUUGUAGUUGUUUUAAUUCUUGUUGAUUAAUCGUUAGCUGUAGUUCCUUGACUUGAGAUUUUAGUUGUUUGAUUUCAUUUUGAAGUUCUCCUGUAGUUACUUGUUUAAAUAAACUUUGAGUAGGAUAUUUUUCGAAUAUUUUGUUUAAACUAAAAGGUUGUGGAGUAGAUAAUUGAUUUUCUUGAUAAAUUAUUUCUUUUAAUUUUAUUAAAUAUUAUUUUUUAAUUUCUGGAUCAUCUAUUUUAUCUAUUAUAUCAAGUAAGAAUUGUUUAUCAGUUUCUUUUGUUAUUACAUUAAUUGUUUUGCAGUUGCAUAAAUUAUCGGAUAGUUCUUGUGAUUCAGAAGACGAAUCACUAGAAUUUUCUAUUUCAUUAAUUAAGUAAUCGCUAUCGGUUUCUUCAGAUAUUUCUGAUUCCGAUAUUAAUAAUUUAGUUAAUUUUUCUUGAAUAUCAGGUUGAUCUUGAAAGAUUUCAUUUAUUUUCUUUUUCAUUUUACAUUCUGUAGACUUAUGUCCUGGUCUUUUACAAUUAUAGCACACUAUCUUUUGUUUAUCAUUUGAUUUUUAUUUUUUAUUUUUUGAAUAAUAUUUGUUAGUUGGUUUUUUAUCAAAAUCUUUUUGAUAAUGUUUUGAUUUACUAGCUUUUCUUUGACUAUAUUUUAUUCUUUUAAUUCUAGAGGGAGGAUCUAAUCUAUCAUAACCAUAUUGCUUACAAAAUGAACCCAUAGUUGUUUUAAACUUAAAUUUAUGAUUUCUUUUCUUAUCUUUAUGUUCUUGACAUAUUGCUAAACCUUGUUUUUUAACAAAAGCGAAUAACUGACCGUAUGUAAUUGUGUUCCACGGUAUAGGUUGACCGCCUGAAUAAUCUUUUAAUUUGUUGAUUACUCUUUCUGCGAAAAAAGAUGGUAAUCCUGAGAUAAAUCUUUCUUUCCAGAAAUGUUGAUUACAAUCAUUUCUUUGGAAUAUGUUGGUUACGAAUAUAUCUUUGUACCAUUUAAAAUCUCCUAAUGUUGGACAUCUUAAAUUGGUUAAUACUAUUUUUUUGCUUUCUAAUUCUUCAGUAGGAUUUCCUAUAAAAUGCAUAGUUAAAGUAUGGAUUAAUACUUCUACUGCAUUUUGAUGUUCUAUUUCUUCAUACAAGCCAUCUUCAUCUUCUACUUUUCUAAUUUCUACGUGAUUAAUUAUUGAAUCUUGUAUUGGUGUAUCUAAUGCAUUGUCCUACCAAUAUUUUAAAGCUCCAUUAAAACCUGUUACUAGCAUAAUACAUGCUUGUUUAUCAGUAUGACCCCUUGCCUUAAAGGCAAUAGCGGCCAUGCCCAUUUCUUGAAAUAAAUUCAUUAUUUCAUACUCAGAACGUCCAUCAAUGUUCCAUUCGUAUAUUCCUUCACCAGUAUAUACGUUAUGGGAAUAUUUAUGGUGUUCUUCGAAUAAUAGAUCAGGUGGUGUAUGUCUUGAGUAGUAUGGUUUUCUAGAUUUCAUAAUUUUAUUAUUAUUCCUAUAUUUUAUUCGAUUAAUUUCUAAAUUAUCAUUUUCUGAUUGAGUAUCUGUUUGAAUAGAUUCAUUAUCGUUUUCAUCUAUAAUAUUGAUUCCUUUUCCUUUAUCUAGAUUUUCUAAUCUAGUUGACAUUGACUUUAAUAUUUCAUUUUCUGGAAAUUUAAUUUGUCUAUUUAUUGGUUUGAAGAUGGGUGUAGUCACCGACGAAAAAGGGGGUUGAUUAAUAUUACUAUAUUGCUCUAAUUUAUUAUUUUCAUUAAUAUCAAUUUUAUUAUCUAUGCUGUCUAUUUGUUUGGAAAUUGUAUAUAAUAAUUGACUUUGAUAAUUAUUUUGUUGAUAAACUGAUUUUAUAUCCUGCAUAAUUAAUGGUUCUUUAUCAUCUUUAUUAGCUCCAGUUUUAAAAGGUGUAGCUAAUAUUUGUCGGUUAGCCGUAUUUAUUUUUAAAUCGGUUAAAGGGGGAUGAAUUGAUUUAAUUUUAUUACCAUUUACUUGUUCUCAUACUUGGCUUAAGGAUGCACUUGUAUUAAUAGCUUUAAAUGGGUAAUUAAUAUUAUUAGCAAUUGCAUACGUUUCAAACCAUAUAAAAAAUGGAAUAUCUAAUUCUUUUGCUAUCCUGCAAUUGUACCAAUUCUCUCUAAAUUCUUUAACUUCUUGUUUAGAAAAAGUCUUGAAAUACUUUUCUCGUUUUUCUUUAUUUUUUAUAGAAUAAAAGUCUUCUUUUAUAAAUUGCUUAUUUAUUUUGUAUUCCUUUAAGAUGACAUUUAUUGAUUUAAAAUCCGACGGAGUCGGAGAGGUUGGGUACGUUUUUGAUUCGGGUUCAGCUAUAGGUGCUUUAAAUUUUAUAUCUUGUUUAAUGUUUUGAUUUAUACUUUCUGUUUCCGAAUCUGUACUAGAUUGCCUAGUACGAUAUUCGGAAAAAGAAGGUCUUGAUCCUACCGAGGGUCUUGAGUAAUAAGAACUUAUCCUAGGAGGAAGUGGAUCUCUAAAAGAUCCGAAUUGUAAUAAUAUUUUUCCCUCUUGUUGUUCAAUUAUUUUAGAAAUAUUUCUUUGUUCAAAAUUCCUAGGUGGUUGAGUAAUCUCAAUUUUCCAUUGAUCUGGAAUAGUUAUUUCAUUCCAUUUUAAUUGCUUAGGAGCAUAAGUAGCUGCUGGGGUAUCUUUACCAUGAACUGCUAGAAUAGUAGUUUCUCCUUUAUCAUCUUGUAAUAAACAUCUUGGAUUAAAUUCAGAUGUUGAUUGCUUAAAAUAGAUUCGAUAUAGUAAUAAAUAUCCAUGUCUCUCACUUUGAAAUUUCAUUUCUGGUAAAUGGACAUUUAAUACUAGUGAGUUGAGUAUAGUUGGAUCAUGUAGACUAACCUGAAAAUUAGGGGCGCAAUUAAAAUAAAUUGCUCCGUUGCAUAAAUUUGAUUGGACUGCUCCAAGGAGCGAGUCUUCAAAUUUUAAUAAGGUUUUAUCCCUUAAAAGCAUAAGUAUAGGUGAAUCUAUUCCGGUUCUUGAUAAAGGUUUUAAUGCUAUUUGAAUUAAACCGAAAUGAAUAUAAUUAAAUCCUUUUUGUUUAUAUUUAUCUAAAGCUAUUGAUGACAAUAAUUUAAUUUCUUCAAAUUCGUUUUGAAGAGAUAAAGUCUGUUCGUGUUCUUUAAUUGAAUAAGCGGUUUUAAAAUUAAAGGUUCCAAUUUGAUAUGUAUUUUCUGGAUUAACAUCAGGUAGACAAUUUUUUGUAAUAUCUUGAUUAAACGAAGUUAUUUUUGCAUAAUUUCUCUUGAGUUAAUUGUUGUUGCAGAUGUUGAUGCAUGUUUAGAUUUAAACAAUUUUCUAAUUGAGGAUGCCAUGGUUUAUCCUAAGCUUAGACUCAUGCUAGAAAGUUACUAAUCGGGUUCUACUAAAAUACCUUCUAUGGCUUGCCAACGGACUUGCUGCCUCUCUGGGGUCUUACGGCCUGGAACACCAACAGGAUCUAGUAGAGGGAUUGAAGUCUUUCUAGAAGAUCUUUGUUUGAGAUAAAACACGAAAUCCUUAUUUGAAAAUCGUUUAAAAGAAAACAAAACAUCGAGAUGC
rnacentral:lncRNA from 1 species